GUCUUCGUGGUGUAACGGUAGCGCACUUGGCUCGUAUUCGAGAGAUCCAGGUUCGAGUCCCAGGGAGGACA
rnacentral:tRNA from 1 species